rnacentral:rRNA from 1 species
GACGAACGCUGGCGGCGUGCUUAACACAUGCAAGUCGAACGAAGAGCGAUGGAAGCUUGCUUCUAUCAAUCUUAGUGGCGAACGGGUGAGUAACGCGUAAUCAACCUGCCCUUCAGAGGGGGACAACAGUUGGAAACGACUGCUAAUACCGCAUACGAUCUAAUCUCGGCAUCGAGGAUAGAUGAAAGGUGGCCUCUACAUGUAAGCUAUCACUGAAGGAGGGGAUUGCGUCUGAUUAGCUAGUUGGAGGGGUAACGGCCCACCAAGGCGAUGAUCAGUAGCGGGUCUGAGGGGUUGACCGGCCACAUUGGGACUGAGCCCGGGCCAGACUUCCUCGGGAAGGCACCGUUGGGAAUCUUCCGCAAUAGACGAAAGUCUGACGGAGCAACGCCGCGUGAGUGAUGACGGCCUUCGGGUUGUAAAGCUCUGUUAAUCGGGACGAAAGGCCUUCUUGCGAAUAGUGAGAAGGAUUGACGGUACCGGAAUAGAAAGCCACGGCUAACUACGUG